GGGGGUUUAGCUCAGUGGUAGAGCACUUGCCUAGCAAGCGCAAGGCCCUGGGUUCAAUCCCCAGCUCCG
rnacentral:tRNA from 1 species